rnacentral:lncRNA from 1 species
CAGAUAACGACCAUCUGGGCUGCAUACAGGGUCCAGGAUGGCAUGGUCACAGUUCACUGUAACCUGAAACUUCUGCACUCAAAUGAUCUUCCCACCUAAGCCUCUCAGUCUCCCGAGUAGCUGGGACUGCAGGUGCAUGCCAUCACAUUUGGCUAAUUUUUAGUAUUUUGUGUAGAGAUGGGGUCUUGCUAUGUUGCCCAGGCUAGUCUAGAACUCCUGGCCUCAAGUCAUCUUCCUGCCUUGGCCUCCAAAAGUGCCGAGAUUACACGUGUGAGCCACCAAUGUCUCCUUUAUUUACUAUUCCUGCAAACUAGGCAAAUAGUUUCACUU